rnacentral:tRNA from 1 species
UUUUUUGUGACCGAGAUAGGUAACAAACUUUUAAUUUGUUUACGGAUUUUUUCCCAAAAGAA